rnacentral:lncRNA from 1 species
CGCGAGGCGAGCGUCAGAGGCGCGUGCGGCUCGCGCUCCCCGUCGAGCGAAACUGCGCCACCGGCCGCACCUCCGACACGUACAAGUAACGGAAACUUCAUUCUCGUUGUGCGAAAUGUCGAAUGUCGAACAGUUUUUGAGGAAAGAAUUUGCCUUCGAAAGCUGAGGGGUGGGCGUGUGUGUAUCAGUCGGUAAACCGCCGGACCGAAACUGACGAGUUUCGAGCUACGACGACGGUCGUCCCUUGUAAACUCUCCCUGCAGGCCUGGUAACACCGACACGGCCCCCGUCGUGGAAUGCAACGGCACCUGGGCUCCUGCUAGCGACCGUGAGCUGAUGCAUUUAUCUGGUGUGGUGCUGACCUUCUGCGGCCAAGUGGGAACCAAAGACACAUCUACUCUUGUGGUGCACAAGCUCUCCAGUGGCAAGAGGAGCGACAGACACCUGGACUGGACUGCGCACAGGUCCCGCGGACCCAGUGUGCUCUGCUGCCUGGCUGAACAGUGCCUUAAACUGGGAGCCCCUGACUAUGUGGUCAUUAGAAAACCCAUGACAGUCGGGGUGAGAGGACAACUGCACUCUGUACUCCUCCACGUUCGCCUGGAAUUCAGCUGCUCCACCUGGUCUGCUGUGCUGUGGGGAUGCUAUGUUUUCCAGGUGAAAUCCCACCGAUCACACGGCUGA